rnacentral:rRNA from 1 species
GCAUAUCAAUAAGCGGAGGAAAAGAAAAUAACAAUGAUUCCCCUAGUAACUGCGAGUGAAGAGGGACAAGCUCAAAUUUUAAAUCUAUCGGGUUUUACCUGAUCGAGUUGUAAUUUGAAGAAGCGUUUUCUGCGUAUUUGGUCAGCCUAAGUCCUAUUGAAUGAGGCAUCAUGGAGGGUGAUAAUCCCGUCCGGUUGAUACAUUUGCGUUUUACGAUACGCUUUCUAAGAGUCAAGUUGUUUGGGAUUGACAGCUUAAAAUGGGAGGUAAAUUUCUCCUAAGGCUAAAUAACGGCGAGAGACCGAUAGCGAACAAGUACCGUGAGGGAAAGAUGAAAAGAACUUUGAAAAGAGAGUUAAACAGUACGUGAAAUUGUUGAAAGGGAAACGAUUGAAGCCAGUCGUACCUUCGGGUAAUCAGCCUUUCGGGUGCGAUUCUGUGGAGCGUGAGGAGUUUUUAACACCUUCAUGCUUUGCAUAUUCGUGCUCUUGGGUGUACUUGCCCGUGUGGUUGGUUAACAUCAAUUUCGGGCACCAUAAAAUGGCUGGAGGAAUGUAGCUUCGAUCUUGUAUUGAUGUGUUAUAGCCUUCGUAGAUGUGGUGAUCGAGAUUGAGGAUUGCAACGGAUACCUUUCGGGGCUACCUGUCUGAUCUCUGAUCGUUGCAUUGGUGCUGAAAGCGUGCUUAUAGUUAUCAAAGUCGAUGGUUAAUAGGUUAGAAUGGGUUAAAUUCGUUAAGGAUGUUGACGUCUUGAAACACGGACCA